CUUUCCCUCACAGGCAUGCUCUACGGAGGGUAUGGGAGGCGAGGGCGCGUCUAUGAGGGCCAGAGUCCGCGAAGAGAGUCCGGCCCUUAGGCCUUUGGUGUUGAAGAAUCUGCUCCUCUGUCGGGUCAAGCCCCACUAGAAGUUAACACCUGUGGUCUCCAAACUUGCCUAUUUUCCUGUCACGCAGUUCAAGCCAAGAUUCAACUCGUCUUGAAUUUUUGUAUUUAGAGCCCCUACCUUCUCCACCGACUCCAGGGGCGCCCUCUGGCGGGAAGGGGCCUGGGGUAGGAGGGAACCUGAGGGAGCGGGUUACAAAGCAGAGAACAGCGGGAGCUCAGCAGCUCCCUUUGAAUUGCGAGGAAACCAAGACGGAGACGGGAGGUAGGAGCACGGGCCUGAAGCGGUCAGCCGACCCUGUGAGGCCCGCGCUGCCGUGCUACGCCGCGAAUCCGCCAGACGCCCCCGUCGGAAGGGGCAGGGACACCCUCGGGGGCGCUCUAGGGUUCGUGCUGCGCUAAGUGUGAAGAGGAAAAGUAAAACCAGCAGCAAGAAGACUGUAGAGAUCCAGCUGUGAGAAGACAGCGGCCCAUUCACUACAGUGGCUCUGGGUUCUGGCCUC
rnacentral:lncRNA from 1 species